GAUGAACGCUGGCGGCGUGCUUAAGACAUGCAAGUCGAACGGACUUAACCAUUAGUUUACUAUUGGAGCGGUUAGUGGCGGACUGGUGAGUAACACGUAAGCAACCUGCCUAUCAGAGGGGAACAACAGUUAGAAAUGACUGCUAAUACCGCAUAUGCCUUAAUUAUCACAUUGAUAAUAGACGGGAAAGGAGCAAUCCGCUGAUAGAUGGGCUUGCGUCUGAUUAGAUAGUUGGUAAGGUAACGGCUUACCAAGUCGACGAUCAGUAGCCGGACUGAGAGGUUGAACGGCCACAUUGGGACUGAGAUACGGCCCAG
rnacentral:rRNA from 1 species